AAAAUGACAAAUCACAAGCUGGUAAAUAAAAGCUCCAAUACCAAAUCAGCUCUUCCAUCAACUCAAGAAGAAAUUGCUCAUUACCAAUAUCCAACAUGACAAUGAAGAUUGUGCUUGUCGUAGUUGUACUGGUGACUUGCUUCGCUGUGGACAAUUGUCAAGUCACCCCCGCUCAACCAGAAUACUUUGCUUGCGUAAGUAAUCUAACAUCCGGAAUGCCGGCCUUUGGACCCUGCUUCGCUAACACCACUGGCAUUAUAACGCUACAGCAUUUUGUCAACUCCCCUGCAUCGAUCAACUUGCAACAGUUUACCAAAUAUGCAAUGCACUUACUAACCCGAUACUUCAGGUUUGUCCCAACGCUAAUAGUAGUGUGAUUACUGUUCUUGUCUCGCCUGGCACGUCUGCUCCUACUACUGACAGUAGUGCUGUAUCUAUCGUUGUCAUGCCAAUGAUGGUGAUCACUGGAAUAGUUAUGGUUUUGGCCUCACUGUUUUAAGCAGACACAACAUCGAAGAGACUAUAAUUAUACUUGAAUUUAGACACUACAAUUGUGUGCAUGAAUAGUGCAUAUAUAAUUAUAUAGUGCCAUAACUCUAUAGAAAAUACAUGACAUUGUACAUGCAUGUAGACACCCAUAAAAUGUAUUUUUAUAUAGAGAUUGUGAUCAUAAUGAACCGAACUAACA